rnacentral:tRNA from 1 species
CAGAAAAGUACGUUUAAUUA